AUGGUCAAGGAUUUGAAGGUGAUAUUUGGAAAGGGUCUUGGCGGACAACCUGUUCCGAAGGACGCUGACGGACGCGCACCCAUGUGGAAGAAGAAAUCUAUAUUUUGGGACCUGCCAUAUUGGAAAGACCUAGAGGUCCGCUCCACAAUCGACGUGAUGCACGUGACGAAGAAUCUUUGCGUGACCCUGCUUGGCUUCUUGGUCGUGUAUGGGAAGACAAAAGAUACACCUGAGGCACGGGAGGACCAGCAACGUAUGCACGGAGAAGACGGCAUACAUCAGGGUCAUGCAAGCUAUGCUCUUACCAAAGAAGAGAAGGAAAUCUUCUUUGAAUGUCUGCUCAGUAUUAAGGUACCGUCUGGCUUCUCGUCGAACAUAAAGGGAAUAAUAAACAUGGUAGAGAAAAAGUUCCAGAACCUAAAGUCUCAUGACUGCCACGUGAUUAUGUCGCAACUGCUUCCGGUUGCAUUGAGGGGGCUUCUACCGGAAAACGUUCGAUUAGCCAUUGUGAAGCUAUGUGCAUUUCUCAAUGCAAUCUCUCAGAAGGUAAUCGAUCUAGGAAUCAUACCAAGGUUAUAG
rnacentral:rRNA from 1 species